CCUACGGGAGGCAGCAGUGAGGAAUAUUGGUCAAUGGACGAGAGUCUGAACCAGCCAAGUAGCGUGAAGGAUGACUGCCCUAUGGGUUGUAAACUUCUUUUAUAAAGGAAUAAAACGAGGCACGUGUGCCUUUUUGCAUGUACUUUAUGAAUAAGGAUCGGCUAACUCCGUGCCAGCAGCCGCGGUAAUACGGAGGAUCCGAGCGUUAUCCGGAUUUAUUGGGUUUAAAGGGAGCGUAGAUGGGUUGUUAAGUCAGUUGUGAAAGUUUGCGGCUCAACCGUAAAAUUGCAAUUGAUACUGGCAGUCUAGAGUACAGUUGAGGUAGGCGGAAUUCGUGGUGUAGCGGUGAAAUGCUUAGAUAUCACGAAGAACACCGAUUGCGAAGGCAGCUUACUAAACUGUGACUGACAUUGAUGCUCGAAAGUGUGGGUAUCAAACAGGAUUAGAUACCCCUGUAGUC
rnacentral:rRNA from 1 species